AAGAGAAGACAGGAGAACGUACCUAUCUGUGUUCUGUUCUUUUUUCCUCCAGAACAGCAGGGGAUAUAUGGGUGGGAACGUCUCCCCUGCAGUUCACACAUGAUGGGGGCUGAAGGAGAAGACAAGUUAUCUCCUGAUGUUCUGUCAUCCUUUUAUCUGAGUAAUAACUAAAAGGAAAAUUUCUGAUUUAAGUCCAAGAAAGGAGAUCAGUCAGAUGGCCAGAUCACACAUGCACACCUCCGCCGCCUCCAGUUCUCUCCUGCGGUGGCUAGGGCCCCUUGGAGUCUGAUAUGGAGAAAUGCAAUGUAAGGCUGCAUUCUCCUUUGUGUCCACUUACAUAGGAAUAAAUGCCACCCAACAGAAGGGCUACUACUCUAAUGAGCUUCCAGUGACUAGAAGGUUCCACAGGGUAGUCUUGCCCUGUGAAAAAAGUGCUGCUGUUGCACAAACGGUGAUCUCCAUGAAGAAAGCUUCGCUUCCACUGGCCAAUGACAAUGCUUGCCCAUCUGUCUCUACUCUGGAAUGGGUGCUCACAGCUCUCCUUCUCCUUUUCCUCUACUUUUGGCUGACACCAAUUGUCGGUUUUUUGUGUGUGCAAAUAUUGAUUUGCAAAUUUAGUAAAUUUGUGAGAAAUGGAGAACAUUUUUGCAAAUUUCACGAAUGAGGCUUAAAGGAGGCUUUGUGGAAUCCACAUACCUCAGAACACUGUAUCAGUUGCGUGUCUGCCUCUCUUGCAGCUGAAGAAAAGAUGGUGAACUUCAAGAGGACACGGUGAUGCCCAACAUACUAUGCAACCUUGUGUUCUAUGCACAGUUUUCAAGAAAACCUAAUUAUCCAUCUUCUGUCUACAAACCAACUUUGAAAGGAAGAAUUAGAAGGAGUGAGACCAUCUUGGUCAACCCUUUCAUAAUCUGCCUCCUGAUAGGUACAACGAGCAAACAAUUGGAAUAAUAUGCAAAUAUGGUUGCCUUCGUUUGGGAGAAGUGGAAUGUAGUAAGCCCAGGAGAGUGUGGGAGAGGAAAAUUAAAAGAUGGAAAGGCUGAACAAGCAUUGGUCUAUGGUGGAGACAAAGACAAAGGACGAGGGGAACAUAGGGAUGGAAGAGCAGAGGCAAAA
rnacentral:lncRNA from 1 species